CAAGUCGAGCGAGAAAGUUCCUUCGGGAAUGAGUAAAGCGGCGGACGGUUGAGUAACACGUGAGAAUCUACCCUUUAGUGAAGAAUACCUUCGAGAAAUCGAAAUUAAUACUGCAUAAGUCCCUUCGGGGAGAAAAAGUGGCCUCUUUGCUACUGCUAAAGGAUGAGCUUGCGGACUAUCAGCUAGUUGGUGAGGUAAAGGCUCACCAAGGCUAUGACGGUUAGCCGGCCUGAGAGGGUGAACGGCCAGACUGGAACUUAGACACGGUCCAGACUCCUACGGGAGGCAGCAGUGAGGAAUAUUGCGCAAUGGGCGAAAGCCUGACGCAGCGACGCCGCGUGGAGGAUGAAGGUUUUCGGAUCGUAAACUCCUGUUAAGUGGGAAGAAAAGUCUGUGGUUAAUACCCGCAGAAAAUGACGGUACCAUUAUAGAAAGCACCGGCUAACUACGUG
rnacentral:rRNA from 1 species